AAGGAAGCUAUACUGUUCACUAUAAUUACAAAUAUAACUCUGUCAGUCAUUGAGUUAGAUGAUCUGGAUUGCUUGAUCAAGUGUGGGACUCUUUCCUCUCUACGAGCAGGUUGAGCUAUUUGUAGGGCAACUUUUUGACGUUACAUUCUGCCAGCUUCUUUAGAAAGAUUACUUUAGUGUAAGAGAUGAAAUUUUGUGUUUAUAGUUUUAUUGUAUAUCUAGGUGUCCUAUAGAAUUUUAAGCUGUAAUUCUAUGUUUGUAGUUUUAUUGUAUAUGUGGGACUGUUUGUAUGCGUAAUUUGUUAAAUGUUUUCAACUCAAAAUUUAGUAGUGCCUAAAAAAUUAAAAAAUUAAAAUGCAGGUCAGGAAGGCAAAGAAAAAGAAGCUUCAGCAUGCACGGAAGACCAUGGGGGAUUAUUGCACAUUGACAGGAUCACCGAUUGAUUCGUUUGUAUCACAUGUUCCAAUCUUGCUUAUACGUGGUCUAGCAAGGAUAUACCAAUUUCCUUGAAGAAAGAAGAAAUAAACAUUGCAGGCUGGUUCUGCUUUCGGUGGGUAUCCCAUCAAUACAACUCAUGCAAGCAAGUUCAUACUGUUGAAAUCAAAUGCACACCAUCUAGAAUAUUAGAUGCUUAAUUUAACCUUCAUUGUUGCUUCUGUUUGAAUAAGAUCAUUAUUGAAAUAAGUUUUUCGUUCAGA